rnacentral:rRNA from 1 species
AUUGAACGCUGGCGGCAUGCUUUACACAUGCAAGUCGAACGGUAACAGGCCGCAAGGUGCUGACGAGUGGCGAACGGGUGAGUAAUGCAUCGGAACGUGCCCAGUCGUGGGGGAUAACGCAGCGAAAGCUGCGCUAAUACCGCAUACGAUCUAUGGAUGAAAGCGGGGGACCGUAAGGCCUCGCGCGAUUGGAGCGGCCGAUGUCAGAUUAGGGAGUUGGUGGGGUAAAGGCUCACCAAGCCAACGAUCUGUAGCUGGUCUGAGAGGACGACCAGCCACAAUGGGACUGAGACACGGCCCAGACGCCUACGGUAGGCAGCAGUGGGGAAGUUUGGACAAUGGGGGCAAGCCUGAUCCAGCAAUGCCGCGUGCAGGAAGAAGGCCUUCGGGUUGUAAACUGCUUUUGUACGGAACGAAACGGUCCUGGUUAAUACCUGGGGCUAAUGACGGUACCGUAAGAAUAAGCACCGGCUAACUACGUGCCAGCCGCCGCCGUAACAC